GAUGAACGCUGGCGGCGUGCCUAAUACAUGCAAGUCGAGCGAACAGACGAGGAGCUUGCUCCUCUGACGUUAGCGGCGGACGGGUGAGUAACACGUGGAUAACCUACCUAUAAGACUGGGAUAACUUCGGGAAACCGGAGCUAAUACCGGAUAAUAUAUUGAACCGCAUGGUUCAAUAGUGAAAGACGGGUUUGCUGUCACUUAUAGAUGGAUCCGCGCCGCAUUAGCUAGUUGGUAGGGUAACGGCUUACCAAGGCGACGAUGCGUAGCCGACCUGAGAGGGUGAUCGGCCACACUGGAACUGAGACCCGGUCCAGCCUCCUACGGGAGGCAGCAGUAGGGAAUCUUCCGCAAUGGGCGAAAGCCUGACGGAGCAACGCCGCGUGAGUGAUGAAGGUCUUCGGAUCGUAAAACUCUGUUAUUAGGGAAGAACAAAUGUGUAAGUAACUAUGCACGUCUUGACGGUACCUAAUCAGAAAGCCACGGCUAACUACGUG
rnacentral:rRNA from 1 species